rnacentral:rRNA from 1 species
CGAAAACGUUUGGCAAGGACAUACCCAUUGAUCAAGGACGAAAAUUAGGGGAUCGAAGACGAUUAGAUACCGUCGUAGUCUUAACCAUAAACGAUGCCAUCUUAGGGAUGGUAUGUUUUUUUACAUAUAAAGCAUAUCAUUACUUUCCGGGAAACCAAAGACUUUGGGUUCUGGGGGGAGUAUGGUCGCAAGUCUGAAACUUAAAGGAAUUGACGGAAGGGCACCACCAGGAGUGGAGCCUGCGGCUUAAUUUGACUCAACACGGGGCAACUUACCAGGUCCGGACAUGAACAUGAUUGACCGAUUGAUAGCUCUUUCAAGAUUUUAUGGGUGGUGGUGCAUGGCCGUUCUUAGUUGGUGGAGUGAUUUGUCUGGUUAAUUCCGUUAACGAACGAGACCUUAACCUACUAGUUAGUUGGUUGAAUAGGAUUAAAAAUUUGUGAACCAGAUUUUAAUUUUAUUUAAUAUCUCAACUUCAUAGAGGGACCAUCUGUGUUUGUAAUAGAUGGAAGUUUGAGGCAAUAACAGGUCUGUGAUGCCCUUUGAUGUCCUGGGCUGCACGCGGGCUACACUGAUACAUUCAUUGAGUUUUUAUGAUAACCUUAUCUGAAGAGAUUGGGUAAUCUUUUAAAAUGUAUCGUUCUU